AACACCUUAAUAUACAACUACUCCAAUAGGUUGUAUCUAGUUUGCCUAAUAAGAUGUGAGGUAAUAAAUAAGAUGCUCUCUCAUUCUACAUUGGAGCUUGUGCAAGGGUGUUGGUUAAUUUACAUACAACCUUGUUCUAUUUUCUCAUUUAUUGCGUGACACAUCAUUAAAUUCUAUGUGUUAAAAUUACUAAUAACUAUCUUACAACCAUUGAGGAUGCCCUUAUUUUGAGGAGACGGAGGAAGUACAAAAUAAUGGACCAGUCCUAGAGAACAGUGCUUGCUCAAAAAACUGUUGUCUAAUAGAGUUUGCUUUCUUUGGAGCACAACGUGAUCUAAUCACUAGGAAAACUACAAACUGCGUUGCUGCUCUUGCCAAACGACGGACUGACUACCUCCACAACUACAAAGACUUCCUGGCAAAGAAAUUAUAUACACAAUUACACCGAACAGCAGAUCUCUCUGGAUGCCAACUUCUAAUAUUUCCAGGUACAAUUAACAGAGCAUGUACCAUUGGCUCCACUUCAAAUGGUCAAUCAACCAUUAAUGACAAAUACUGCACAAUCUUAUACUUCAACGCCAACACCAGAGACGGAAUGGUUGAAAACAAUCCAGUUGCAACUCCGCUAUCUGGUGACCACAAUCGUUAUGAAAAUGAAGCAUUGAAACAACAACUGAUGAGGUAUACAAAAUUGAACUGUUUUUUCCUAUGUUGUACAUAUUCGGACUUUUCUGUAUACUCAUACAACUAAUGAAAUGUUUUCAGACGUUGUACAGGUCAACAAUGUCACUAGGGUGUGCAAUUCAGAUUCUGAAUUCUAAUCAGCAUGGUUUCAGUUGUGUAUUAUGAAAAAUGUUAUAUGUAUAUUAUGUGAAACCGCUCGAUAAAUAAAAGUUACUGCUCCCAAAU
rnacentral:lncRNA from 1 species